rnacentral:rRNA from 1 species
UACAGAGGGGGCAAGCGUUGUUCGGAAUUACUGGGCGUAAAGCGCACGUAGGCGGCUUAGCAAGUCGGAUGUGAAAUCCCUCGGCUCAACCAAGGAAGUGCAUCCGAAACUGCUGAGCUUGAGUACGAAAGAGGAUCGCGGAAUUCCCGGUGUAGAGGUGAAAUUCGUAGAUAUCGGGAGGAACACCAGUGGCGAAGGCGGCGAUCUGGGUCGAUACUGACGCUGAGGUGCGAAAGCGUGGGGAGCAAACAGG